rnacentral:misc_RNA from 1 species
GAAAGUGUGGAUUUUGUUCACUUCUUAUUGAAUUUAAUCAUGGGUAGUUUCUUUCUUGCAUUUUGAAAAGCAAUAACCAUUCUAGUUGACAAAGGCUAGCUCUUUUUGUGUUCUUGGUUUACAAUUUGAAUUUAAUGAUGUGCAAAACUUGAUUUCUGUUAUUUACAUCGCCUUUUUUUCCCCUUGUAACUGUAUGUAGAGGUUGGAACACACAAUAGAUUUAUAGUGUCAAACUACUAAGUUCAAGGCUAUGUCAAUAAUGUUACCCAUGUUUAAGAUAUAGUUCAUAUAACUAUGAAUCAUUUGAUUAAGAUGUAGUUCGUAUAAAUCUGAAUCAUUCCAUUAAAG